CACAUCUGCACAGACGGCAUGCUAACACAUCUGCACCUGCGGUAGCAUCCAAAAGGCAGAGGAAGAUGCUAACCAUCGCACAAAAAGUUGGACUUCUGGACAUGCUAAAGGAAGCGAUGGAGCUGAACAUAAAAAGCUGACACAGCUUGGAGAUGUUGAUAAGAGGCGUGACCAGGCCUCCCAGUGUGACUGAGCAUGUGCAGGACCUGAGCGUGAAUCACAGAGGCCACACCCACAAUCCCCAGGACCAGCAAACGGGAACCCCUGCUGGGGGUAAGGCUUCUCCCGGUGUGGUGUUUAUACUGCCUCUGUGCAUCCCGGUGACCCGAUAAUAAACGUCCUCAUCCUGGAGCUGCAGAGAUCUGCUGACACGCCGCGGCGCUCUGAGAUAUCGUUCCUUAUCAGCAAACAGCAGCAGACUCGUCUUCACGGGAACGCUCUGACUGUAAGGUCGUUGGCUCAAAUACCAAGGUCAGCAGCACUUCCUUACUGCCUCAGCACGUAUUGUCGAGGUGCCCUUGAACGUCACGUGAAGUCUUCAGCGUGGCUGUAAAGGCCCCGCUGUACUGUUCCAGCGCACUGAACAAUCAUAAAACUUUAUUCUUAAGCAGAGAGCAGACAAAGGCAGGCCUGAGGAGAAUAUUAGCAGCAGCUUCAACACGCCUGCAGGAUCACACACAGUCAGUCUGAAGCUCAGCCGCAGCUCCACUCUGACCCGAGUGUGUGCGGACCAGAAACGACACAAAUAUGGCCGAUUGAAACAACUCAGAGCAGUAAUACAGACACGCCUGACGUACAGCAUGGUUUAAUGUUGAGUCGGACAGACCUGCGAAAGAAGUUUAACUGUUUAUUUAAUCUCUGAGAUAUCAGAAUAUUAGAAACAAGAGCUGCUGUCUCGUAUGUACUUUCUACUAUCGGCAGGAAAAGCUGGAAAACUACAAAAUCCAUCCCCUCUACGAAACCUGCAGUGGGCCACGGUCUGGGUUCCUUUGUGACUGUGACUGACACGCAUCCUUCAGUCUGUUAUGAGAAGGAUUACAUGUCAACGGCGCUGCUGACUUGGCUCUGUCCCUAAACAGCCGAGUGUUUCAGUGUAAGCAGCCAGCAGAAAUCUUUCCCAGCAGAACCCAAACAGAGCUGAGCCUGCGGCGGAGAUGCCAUCUAAUCAGAGCCAUGGGAAGCGGCGCUGCACCGCAGACCCAACGAUCCGCCCUCCACAAAGGCCCACUCGGAUAAAUCCAGGUCAUCACCUCCUCCUUUUCCUGCUCUCAGCACCUCCUUCCGCUUCCACAGGUCUGCUCCUGGAUGGGUAUUGAAACAAAAAUGAAGCAGAGCUCAGAGAACUUGGGAUGUGUCCACUCAGAAAAGGAACAGAAUCAUCCAUCCGCAGUGUGUGUGCAGGUGUGCAGGAGGAAAGAUCAGCCAGAGGUGUUAAGAUGCCCCAGGGGACAGAAACAGGUAAAAGGGGGAUUAGCCCAGCGGCCCGUACAUACUUUGCGCCCCCAAUGUGGCACACAUAUACUUUCUCCUGGGAUGAGGAAAAGCUGCAGGGAAAACAACAAACAGGUUCCCCAGCACAGGAAAUGAGUGCGAUGCUGUAUCUGCUGCUGUCAGAGUGAGCUGGGUGCAGGAGAGGCAGAAAGGUAAAAGCAGGUGAUGGAGAGCCAAGGUGAAGAGAGAGCAGGAAGAGGAUGAGGUGAAGUGGAAACACAGAGCGUCUAUGUAUGUGUUAGUCAUCUGACAUCUCCCAGUCGGGUAGAGCUUCACGGUGACUCACUGCAGACACGAGAAAGGAGCAGACAUGAAGAGACAGAUGAAAUAUUUAAUUUCAGCCAUAAUGGCAUGAGCUCAGAGACGAGGAGGGACCAACAGAAGCACGACUGUCACCUUAUUACAGUGAAGGAAAAGUGCAGGGCCUGAAAGGAAAGGUGACGUUACCUGGAGGUUGUGGCUUCAGGUCUUUGACCUCACCUCCUUAGGUUUCACUUUGGUUUGAACCUCAGGACGCUGCAGGUGUGUCCGAUUUAAAAUCACUGCCGCUGUGUCUCGGUGAAUUCAAAUGGGACUGUUUGGGAUGCCAAGAGACAGAUGUUUGACCGGCCACACUGCGCGAUGAUCAAGGACAACACCGAGUCAAAGACGAGGACUCUAUCUGGGAAAUACACCCCCACAGCGAGCUGGGAGAGCUAGAUGAUGGUGACGCUCCUCCACAACAAUAAGGCCCGGUGUUACCAGUUUGACCCACUCACAAUCAGAGUGGGCUGUGUGGUUUUAGAGCGUCUGAAAACAUUUCC